rnacentral:lncRNA from 1 species
UCCAGUGUCUUUCAAUCGAUUACUCUUUCUAGUGAACCUUUGAAGGUUGGCUCCUCCUUUCUUUCUUCUCCAUCUUUAUUGGUUGCUAUAUAUAGCUACUUCAUCUGAUAUUGAGCACCCUACUAAUUGUUUGACUUAGGUGGCUACUUCCUAGCAUUUCAAUGGCUUCGGUAGAGACAAACCAAAACCUCCUUUGGUCGUAAUGUGGAGGAUUUUGACAACGGAUUUGUUCGUCGUCACUAAAAGUAUUACCGACGACAGUAGCGACGAUAAUGCCUUCACUAUAGUUAUUAGCGACAAAAAUUUAACUGUCGAUAAUACUAACCCUAAAAGCUCUCC